rfam:Sus scrofa isolate TJ Tabasco breed Duroc chromosome 16, whole genome shotgun sequence.
GUCGUCUCAGUGUCUGAGACAAACAAAAACAGAAAAUAAUUUCUUGCCUCACCUUACCCUCACCUCAGAAGAGAAAAAGUUUUCCCCAGAUUAGAGGAGAACAAAAAUUGAGAGGGGUAUGCUAAAAAUAGGGGAUGCAUGCCACAUCUUGUGGGGAUUCUGGA